rnacentral:rRNA from 1 species
UACGUAGGUGGCAAGCGUUGUCCGGAUUUACUGGGCGUAAAGAGCGCGCAGGCGGUCGUUCAAGUCGCGUGUGAAAGCCCCCGGCUCAACUGGGGAGGGUCACGCGAUACUGAUCGACUCGAAGGCAGGAGAGGGAAGUGGAAUUCCCGGUGUAGCGGUGGAAUGCGCAGAUAUCAGGAGGAACACCGGUGGCGAAGGCGGGUCUCUGGGCAGUAACUGACGCUGAGGAGCGAAAGCGUGGGGAGCGAACAGG